rnacentral:rRNA from 1 species
GAAUAGGUUUUGUGGUUGUGCCAAUGGUAUUUACUACAGGCCUGUUCCUUCCUUUUGGGGAACGUAUGUGCUCUUAGCUGAGUGUGUACGGGAUCCAAGACAUUUACUUUGAAAAAAUUAAAGUGUUCAAAACAGGCAACUUGCUUGAAUAGAUUAGCAUGGAAUAAUAGAAUAGGACUUGGGUUCUAUUUUGUUGGUUUCUAGGACCUCAGUA